GACGAACGCUGGCGGCGUGCCUAAUACAUGCAAGUCGAACGAAGCUUUUUUAACUGGUGCUUGCACCGACUUAAACAACUGAGUGGCGAACGGGUGAGUAACACGUGGGUAACCUGCCCCAAAGCGGGGGAUAACAUUUGGAAACAGAUGCUAAUACCGCAUAACCACAGAAACCACAUGGUUUCUGUGUCAAAGAUGGUUUCGGCUAUCACUUUGGGAUGGACCCGCGGCGUAUUAGCUAGUUGGUAAGGUAAUGGCUUACAAAGGCAAUGAUACGUAGCCGAACUGAGAGGUUGAUCGGCCACAUUGGGACUGAGACACGGCCCAAACUCCUACGGGAGGCAGCAGUAGGGAAUCUUCCACAAUGGACGAAAGUCUGAUGGAGCAACGCCGCGUGAGUGAAGAAGGUUUUCGGAUCGUAAAGCUCUGUCGGGCGGGACGAAAACGGUUUGGGUUAACAGCCCAAGCAAUUGACGGUACCGCCAAAGGAAGCACCGGCUAACUUCGUGCCAGCAGCCGCCGUAA
rnacentral:rRNA from 1 species